GACGGAGGGGGCAAGCGUUGUCCGGAAUCACUGGGCGUAAAGCGCACGUAGGCGGCUUUUUAAGUCAGGGGUGAAAUCCUGGAGCUCAACUCCAGAACUGCCUUUGAUACUGGCGAUCUUGAGUCCGGGAGAGGUGAGUGGAACUGCGAGUGUAGAGGUGAAAUUCGUAGAUAUUCGCAAGAACACCAGUGGCGAAGGCGGCUCACUGGCCCGGUACUGACGCUGAGGUGCGAAAGCGUGGGGAGCAAACAGG
rnacentral:rRNA from 1 species